AGCAGUGCCAGUAUCAGCAGCAGUAUUUACUGUACUACCACUACUACUAGUAGUAGUCACAUUCCUAUUACUACCACCAAUACUACCAAUAGUAGUUAUAAAGCCUAACUCAUGUAUAUCCAGAUUACCAUCUAUGUUCUUCCUCCAAACCCAUUUUAUUAUUGGGAUUACAGGCAGUUCUUUAGGACUGCUCUCAAAUAAUUGAAAUGUUACUAAACAAGGUUAUACUUAUCAAAUUAAAUAGCUCUGGUCUCCAGUAUAUUGGCGAAUUCGGUUAUUUGUACUUAAUUUAUUAGCAUGAUUUCUUUUUAAUAUGUUGUGUACAGACUUACUUACUUCUCUGUCUACUUUUCUUACUCCAUGUAGGUUUCCCAGAGACUAUGGGUUGAGGAGGAAUUGGAAGUUUGUCGGGUUAGACCUGGUGUCAUUCCAUCAGUGUUAAACUUCCCGGCUCAUCUUGGAAGAGUACGUGCCAGAAAGACCACGACCAAGCAGCCUUGAGAUCUUAGGCAGCGUCUCCCUGAGGUCCCUCUCUAUCUCCCCACACAUCCACCAACCACUGGAACACAUCUCCAAAGUUCUGCUGGGCCAGCUCAGCUUCCCCUCAGAAGAAGUGCAACCACCUGCCAGAUGAAGGAGCCUUUUGAGAGGCAGCUGGCAUCGUGAUUGGACUGUACUUUGGUCUGUUUCAGUCCAGCUUCAGCUCCAGAGACGGCAGGCGGGACGAGUCAACGGAGGCCGGGUGGACGAAGGCAUGCAGCUGAGUACAAUCCAGAAAACAACAGAGGAGGAGUGCAGCGGCCCAGGGCCAGACCAAACAGAGUAGCACAUUAUGUCUCUUAGAAAACAUCAUAGUAUAGCCUUUGGUAUGAAAAAACACCAUCAUAUACAUCGUAUAUUGUACAAAUAACAAGUCAAAGCAAAGAGACAUACAUUGUAGAAUUGUAGUAAUUGUGGGCUGACUGAUUUACUGAUUAUCAGUAUUUUAUUUUUUACUGAUUUAUGGUAAUAAAUACAUUUAAAAAUGGUGCUACUUUGGCUCUGAACCUUUAUCUACCUGUGGUCGCGCUGUCUUCUGGAGUGAUUUGAUUAGUUAUACGUCAAGAAUAAAACUCCUUUAACUUAACAUCUGUAAACAAAACAAAAACGUAUCAAUAAAGUUUUCUGUUA